rnacentral:rRNA from 1 species
AGAGUUUGAUCCUGGCUCAGAACGAACGCUGGCGGCGCGUUUUAAGCAUGCAAGUCGUACGGUAGAAAGUCUUCGGAUUUUCGAGAGUGGCGAACGGGUGAGUAACACGUAGGUAAUCUACCUUUUCGUUGGGGAUAGCCCAUGGAAACAUGGGGUAAUACCGAAUAUGACCUUCAGACCUGCGGGAAAGAAGGGGAAAGGUGCCACGGCACCGCGAGAAGAUGAGCCUGCGGCUCAUUAGCUAGUUGGUGGGGUAAGAGCCUACCAAGGCGACGAUGAGUAGCCGGCCUGAGAGGGUGGACGGCCACACUGGGACUGAGACACGGCCCAGACUCCUACGGGAGGCAGCAGCUAAGAAUCUUCCGCAAUGGGCGAAAGCCUGACGGAGCGACGCCGCGUGAACGAAGAAGGCCGUGAGGUUGUAAAGUUCUUUUCUUGGGGAGGAAUAAGUCCUGCAGGGAAUGGCAGGAUGAUGACGUUAACCGAGGAAUAAGCCCCGGCUAAUUACGUGCCAGCAGCCGCGGUAACACGUAAGGGGCAAGCGUUGUUCGGAAUUAUUGGGCGUAAAGGGCGCGUAGGCGGGAAGCCAAGCCUGAUGUGAAAGAUCCCGGCUCAACUGGGGGAAUGCAUUGGGAACUGGUUUUCUUGAGUAUAAGAGGGGAUGUUGGAAUUCCAG